GACGAACCGUGCGAACGUUAUUCGGAAUCACUGGGCUUAAAGGGUGCGUAGGCGGGUUGCCAAGUCUGUGGUGAAAUCCUCCAGCUUAACUGGAGAACUGCCGUGGAUACUGGCGACCUCGAGGGGUGUAGGGGCUUGCGGAACUGUGCGUGGAGCGGUGAAAUGCGUUGAUAUGCACAGGAACUCCGGUGGCGAAAGCGGCGAGCUGGACACCUUCUGACGCUGAGGCACGAAAGCUAGGGGAGCGAACGGG
rnacentral:rRNA from 1 species